UUUUUUUCUUCAUUUAUUUUAGGUAUAAAGAAUCAUGUUUGAUUGGGACUGGCGAGAGACAUUAGUUGACAUUUUAAAGUAUGCUGCAAAAAAUCCUUGGGACUUUGUGUUCUAUGUUCUGCUGUGUUUGUCUCCAUUGUUUUUGAUAAGUGCAAUUUUAGCCUACAAUCUUGCAAAACAGAUAGAGGCAAAAGAGAAAGAACAAAAAAGGAAAGCUAGAAGAGAUAAAAAUAUUGCAAAGGCUAAAAAGAAAUCUGAAAAGGCAGAUUAAGACUAACCGUUAUUUUAUCAGGGACAUUUUAUAUCAUUGCUUCAUUUUAUAUUGUACAUUUUGUAUGUAUAUUUAUAUUACAUGUAUCAAUAAAUUAUCAUGAUUUUGUUCACUAAAUGAUUGAAAUCUCU
rnacentral:lncRNA from 1 species